UACGUAGGGUGCAAGCGUUGUCCGGAAUUAUUGGGCGUAAAGAGCUCGUAGGCGGUUUGUCGCGUCUGGUGUGAAAAUCCAGGGCUUAACCCUGGACCUGCAUUCGAUACGGGCAGACUAGAGUUCGGUAGGGGAGACUGGAAUUCCUGGUGUAGCGGUGAAAUGCGCAGAUAUCAGGAGGAACACCGGUGGCGAAGGCGGGUCUCUGGGCCGAAACUGACGCUGAGGAGCGAAAGCGUGGGGAGCAAACAGG
rnacentral:rRNA from 1 species